CCCUCUCGGUCCUGAGCUCUUCCAGUUCAUCCUUCUAUCCCACUAAUCGCGCAUUUCGUCGAGCAGCUGGUUUUCAUUCCUCCUACAUGCGUCAAAGCUGUGAAAGCAGCCAUCUUGCCAUUAUUAGUUAGGAUAAAAUGUACGAAGGAGAUUUACAGGAGCCGCAACAGAGACUUGCGCAAAGGAGGUAAACGGGUCCCCAACUACGGCCGAGGACAGGGCAACAGAAAGUUUGAAACCUAAACAGG
rnacentral:lncRNA from 1 species